rnacentral:lncRNA from 1 species
CUUUCUUUGUAGCCACCUCAGGGGAAGCAACAGAUCGUCACUCGGUGUUCUCACCGAAAGCACGUAAUCGCCGGUGUAACUCAUGUUGGCUGGGGGGCCUCCCGGCGCGCGCGGAGAGGCUGGGGUGCGCCCCCAUGCAGCAUGCUUGUGCUCAAUUGCAGGGUCCUCGUUCUCGAGUGUGCAGAGGGCGGUGAGAGCUCAACUCUCGUCCCCACCUCCCACCCGCAGCUCCCCGGGUGGGUGAGGGAUGCCCUGGACUGGGGAUAGCCAGGUGGGAGUCCGUCGCUGUGUGGCCUGUGGUCUCGGAGUCUGUUCUCCUGGAGUCUCGCAUUUGCACCCCCUUCUUCGCAGUCCCCCUCCCAUAGACUUGCUCUGGGAAGCGCCUCUGCCUCCGACCCUAGCCGGAACCCCUUCGGGGCCAGAGUUUGAAGCCGUGGAUGUGCCUGCCUGGUGGCUUGUCCGAUUUGCACGGUGACUUGAUUACACUCUCUCAUUCAUGGUCACUUCCGAAGCGCUUUAGUGCCUUCCGUCCCUAAACCGCCAACAGCCAGAACGGCUUCUCCCCGCGGUUUGUCACUGAUCCGCAGGGCCCGGAAGGGCCUUCGUCUUACCCGGGAUCCACCUCUCCCCUCAUCUUCCCUGCCUACCUCUUCAUCCCACCUUCUGUCCUUGGAGAAACUCCCUCCUCCUCGCUGCCUGCCGGGCUUCGGAGUGACUCGGCAGAGACAGAGGCACAGGGGCUGCCCUGCUGCUCACCGGUCCACCCAUCUGCCUGGUCUUCUGGAGCUGAGGACUCGGGAAACCAUGCAAUUGAGGCAAGCCUUGGGCUGCUUUAGAGGCGCUGACAUCCGAGGAGACUUCUCCUGGGAGGUCCAACAGCCGAGCUUAGCCCACCGGGCUCUGGGAAAGACCCGACUGAGGCUAAAGCCGCCCCGGAAGGCCAAGUCCGAGUUCCAUUUCUUGAAGAGGCCGGCGCGCGUAAGGCUGUGACAUUGGCCCUGGCGACUGGCUUCCCAGGAGCUGUUCUUUCUCAGGAGCUCCACAGCGCGGGCCAUCUCCAGAAAACUGUCUUCAGAGUGUAUUUCCUUUUAUCGUCAACCCAGAGCCCCACCGCGGCUAAUGCAAGAGGCCAAAAAAUGUUUGGAGGAAGAAAAACAAAGGCAGGAAGUGGCGGCGGCCUGACGGUGCGUGUGUGUCUGCAGAGAAGGGAGGGAGCCGGCUCAGUCUCUUCUUGUUUUUCCAAACUUCAAGGUCCAGGCAGCCCUCUGCAGGGCCGGGCCCCAUUGCUCCCCGCGCGGCAUUGGAGGUGGCCGCCCGGAGAGGAGAAGGCCAACGCCUGCGCCAGGCUUGUCAGGCGGAAACGGCUAACAAGGAGAUUUGGUCAGCAAAACAGACCCAGCCUUUCCGAGGCUUCGUCUGACUUGGCCCGAAAGGUUGGGGAGGGGGGGCUUGCGCAGAGCCUCAGGGACCCUCCUCUCUGGGGACUACCAUCCCUGAGCCUUACGCUUCUUUCCACAGCCUUUGCAGGCGGAAUAUCGGAAUAAAGUGGGUCCAGGCGCC